CGCCGCAUAGUCCAACGGUCACGACGACAGGCUUUGGUCCUGUAGAUGCCGGUUCGAUUCCGGCUGCGGCUGCCA
rnacentral:tRNA from 1 species